rnacentral:rRNA from 1 species
GCCAAUGGCGGCAGCUUACACAUGCAGUCGAACGGUCUCUUCGGAGGCAGUGGCAGACGGGUGAGUAAUGCAUGGGAAUCUACCGUUCUCUACGGAAUAACUCAGGGAAACUUGUGCUAAUACCGUAUACGCCCUUUUGGGGAAAGAUUUAUCGGAGAAUGAUGAGCCCAUGUUGGAUUAGCUAGUUGGUAGGGUAAAGGCCUACCAAGGCGACGAUCCAUAGCUGGUCUGAGAGGAUGAUCAGCCACACUGGGACUGAGACACGGCCCAGACUCCUACGGGAGGCAGCAGUGGGGAAUAUUGGACAAUGGGCGCAAGCCUGAUCCAGCCAUGCCGCGUGAGUGAUGAAGGCCCUAGGGUUGUAAAGCUCUUUCACCGGUGAAGAUAAUGACGGUAACCGGAGAAGAAGCCCCGGCUAACUUCGUGCCAGCAGCCGCGGUAAUACGAAGGGGGCUAGCGUUGUUCGGAUUUACUGGGCGUAAAGCGCACGUAGGCGGACUUUUAAGUCAGGGGUGAAAUCCCGGGGCUCAACCCCGGAACUGCCUUUGAUACUGGAAGUCUUGAGUAUGGAAGAGGUAAGUGGAAUUGCCAGUGUAUAGGUGAAAUUCUUAUAUAUUCGCCGAACACCACUGGCGAAAGCGUCUUACUGGUCCCUUACUGCCGCUGAGGGUGCGCAACCGCGGGGAAGAAAAAAAGAUUAUAAGCCCGGGGAAGUACCACGGCUUCUAAAAUGAUUGUUGUUCCCCCCGUUGUGGUUACUCCUCGGUGGGAAAGGGAAACAAAAAAACCCCCCCCCCCCCCCGGGGGGGCCUCCGGGAAGAAAUAAAAAAUUUUCCCACGGACGGGCGGGGGCCCCCCCCCUCCUCGGAAAAAAAAGAUUUAAUUAAAAAAAGGGCUGAGAGGUUUGCCCCCCCGGGAUUUCCCCCCAAAAUAUAAAAGGACCCCCUUUUUCCUUUUCAGCACAAAAAAAAAACAAGAAAAGCCUCGCCCCCUCCAUUAACUUCCGGGCGGGGGAGGCAGAGAGAUAAAUGUCGGGACAUUCCUCUGCGAGUCCCCCUUUUUUUUCUUCCCACCCGUAGAAAUAGGGUCUUCUUACACGGGGCGGGGGGUGAAAUCAUAUGAGAAAGCGAGAAGAGACUGUCCCCCCUCUAGUACGCACUUAUCCCCGGCUCGGUGCCCUCACCAAGGAAGAAGUGGGGAGCGGGUGGUCACGACCGCCCAGGGGGGGAGGACGGGAACGCCUCCUCACCCAUCCCCCCCAAAGGAGGCGCGCCCUCGGCUUGUGGGAGGUGUUGAUUCUUUCUACCCCAACAACAAAAGUGUUAGAGUUAGGGAUUGAGAGUGAGCAUGUGCUUAA